rnacentral:rRNA from 1 species
GUCCACGCCCUAAACGAUGUCAACUGGUUGUUGGGAGGGUUUCUUCUCAGUAACGUAGCUAACGCGUGAAGUUGACCGCCUGGGGAGUACGGCCGCAAGGUUGAAACUCAAAGGAAUUGACGGGACCCGCACAAGCGGUGGAUGAUGUGGUUUAAUUCGACGCAACGCGAAAACCUUACCUACCCUUGACAUGUCUGGAAUUUUGCAGAGAUGUGAAAGUGCUCGAAAGAGAACCAGAACACAGGUGCUGCAUGGCCGUCGU